AUUACACAGCCGCUGUUUUGGUAC
rnacentral:siRNA from 1 species